UUGUCUUCUCUCUAAAUUAAUUUAAUUAAUUUUCAAGUUCAACCAUGUCAUUUGAUUCCAACAUUAGAUUUUUCUUGAAUAUAAAUUGAGUUAAUUUUAAUGGCAACAAUCAAUUUCUUCUCCCCAAAUCAUGUAUUCAAGUUAAUCAGUUCCUAAAAAUUUGACAACGUUCAACAGUGAACGAAUGGUUGGCGUCUUGGCGGUUGCCGGUUGGGUACUCGUUCUCCGAUUCUCGCUGAUCGAGUACCGUUCAGGUGCUAGUCGAGUGUAGUAUCGAUUGCCGGUUGGCUAGUAGUGAAUUGCAGCCUGAGCCUACAGCAAAAGUGGCCCCCACAACAAUGGUUGGAAAGUUGGAAAGGAGAGAAGGACAAAGAGAGGGAGCAAUACUUAGCAUGACUUAUAGUAGCACCAACUGUUGCGGAUAAUUCUGUGGCUUCCAUUAGAUGAUGUACAAGUAUUAUUUUGGAUAAGUGCUGCUUCUUUUGACAUAAGUUUUCUUAUGUUUUGGGCACAAAAUAUAGUGCUAUCUCUUGUAAGUCGUAAUUGUAAACCUAAUUCUGGUUUCCUUCAGAUGAUGUAUCAUUUUUUAUGGUUAGUGCAUUCUUUUUUUUUUUUUUUAAUUUGAGAUUAAAUAGUAGACCGAAAAAAGAAGAAGAUUAGGUGAAAUUUAAUCUCAAGAUCUUAUCUGAAAAAGACGAUACUUAUUCCAAUUACAACCUAAAUCCAAUUACACAAAUUCUAAAUUAGGUCCUCUUUUGAGAGACCGUCUUUUAUAAAAACGACUCUCAAGAG